rnacentral:lncRNA from 1 species
AAAUUUUUAUUUGCCAUUUCUUUUUUUGCAUGCCGAAUCAAUGUGCACGCAAUUCGGAGCUACGAUCUUUUUCUGACUGAACAGCUUCAUCAACACUUGUAACUAGGUUGUCAAACUAAUAUCCGGGAUAGACGGAAAAGACACCAACAGUCUCCGAUUUCGAUUGACCAACUCAUCUCUCUCUCUUCUGCUUUUUUUUUUUUUUUUUUUUUUUUUGAAAACGACGUGGAUGCACGUGCUGUCGUGCCUCCGGGUAGCUACGCCCCUGAAUGC